GGCGCUAGCUCAGUUGGCAGAGCGAUGGAGCGAUGCUCCACAGUCCCGGGUUCAAGUUCCGGCGGUCGCUA